AACGAACGCUGGCGGCAUGCCUAACUCAUGCAAGUCGAACGAGAUCUUCGGGUCUAGUGGCGCACGGGUGCGUAACGCGUGGGAAUCUGCCCUUUGGUUCGGAAAAACAGUUGGAAACGACUGCUAAUACCGGAUGAUGACGAAAGUCCAAAGAUUUAUCGCCAGAGGAUGAGCCCGCGUAGGAUUAGCUAGUUGGUGUGGUAAAGGCGCACCAAGGCGACGAUCCUUAGCUGGUCUGAGAGGAUGAUCAGCCACACUGGGACUGAGACACGGCCCAGACUCCUACGGGAGGCAGCAGUGGGGAAUAUUGGACAAUGGGCGAAAGCCUGAUCCAGCAAUGCCGCGCGAGUGAUGAAGGCCUUAGGGUUGUAAAGCUCCUUUACCCGGGAUGAUAAUGACAGUACCGGGAGAAUAAGCUCCGGCUAACUCCGUGCCAGCCGCCGCGGUAA
rnacentral:rRNA from 1 species